GAUGAAGAACGUAGCGAAAUGCGAUACGUAGUGUGAAUUGCAGAAUUCAGUGAGUCAUCGAAUCUUUGAACGCACAUUGCACCUCUCGGUAUUCCGGGAGGUAUGCCUGUUCGAGCGUCAUUUGUACCCUCAAGCUCUGCUUGGUGUUGGGUGUUUGUUCCGCCUCUGUGUGUGAACUCGCCUCAAAACAAUUGGCAGCCGGCGUACUUGUUUCGGAGCGCAGCACAUUUUGCGAUCCAGAUCAACGUACAGCGGCAUCCAAGAAGCCUUAUUUAACGCUCUUGACCUCGGAUCAGGUAGGGAUACCCGCUGAACUUAAGCAUAUCAAUAAGCGGAGGA
rnacentral:misc_RNA from 1 species